rnacentral:rRNA from 1 species
CCCUUAGAUGUUCUGGGCCGCACGCGUGCUACACUGAGUGGAUCAGCGGGUCAGGUUGCGCGAAAGUGUUUCCUAAUCUUUAAAUCCGCUCGUGAUGGGGAUUGACGGUUGCAAUUUUCCGUCAUGAACGAGGAAUACCUUGUAAGCGCGGGUCAUCAUCCCGCGCUGAAUACGUCCCUGCCCUUUGUACACACCGCCCGUCGCUCCUACCGAUUGAGUGGUCCGGUGAGGCUUUGGGAUCUGAGCGGAAAGAGCGUUUCGCUGUUUCUGCCCGUAAAACUCAGUCGAACCUUAUCAUUUAGAGGAAGGAGAAGUCGUAACA